GUAGCGGUGAAAUGCGUAGAUAUCAGGAGGAACACCGAUGGCGAAGGCAGCUCACUGGACAAGCACUGACACUGAGGCACGAAAGCGUGGGGAGCGAAAGGGAUUAGAUACCCCUGUAGUCCACGCCGUAAACUUUGUACACUAGAUGUCGGGGGAUUCGACCCCCUCGGUGUCCCAGCUAACGCGAUAAGUGUACCGCCUGCGGACUACGGCCGCAAGGCUAAAACGUAAAGGAAUUGGCGGGGCCCCGCACAAGCGGUGGAGCAUGUGGCUUAAUUCGAUGCAACGUGAAGAACCUUACCUGGGCUUGACAUGUAUUGGACCGGCUGUGAAAGCAGCCUUCUCUUCGGAGCCGAUACACAGGUGCUGCAUGGCUGUCGUCAGCUCGUGUCGUGAGAUGUUCGGUUAAGUCCGGCAACGAGCGCAACCCCUGUCCAUAGUUGCCAGCAUUCAGUUGGGGACUCUAUGGAGACAAUCCUGCUUAGCAGGAGGGAAGGUGGGGAUGACGUCAAGUCAGUAUGGCCCUUACGUCCAGGGCUGCACACGUGCUACAAUGCCCGGUACAAUGGGAAGCAAGACCGCGAGGUGGAGCAAAUCCAUAAAACCGGGCCCAGUUCGGAUUGGAGUCUGCAACUCGACUCCAUGAAGCCGGAAUCGCUAGUAAUGGCGUAUCAGCAAUGACGCCGUGAAUACGUUCCCGGGGCUUGCACACACCGCCCGUC
rnacentral:rRNA from 1 species